GAUGAACGCUGGCGGCGUGCCUAAUACAUGCAAGUCGAGCGAACGGACGAGAAGCUUGCUUUUCUGAUGUUAGCGGCGGACGGGUGAGUAACACGUGGAUAACCUACCUAUAAGACUGGGAUAACUUCGGGAAACCGGAGCUAAUACCGGAUAAUAUUUUGAACCGCAUGGUUCAAAAGUGAAAGACGGUCUUCCUGUCACUUAUAGAUGGAUCCGCGCUGCAUUAGCUAGUUGGUAAGGUAACGGCUUACCAAGGCAACGAUGCAUAGCCGACCUGAGAGGGUGAUCAGCCACACUGGAACUGAGACACGGUCCAGACUCCUACGGGAGGCAGCAGUAGGGAAUCUUCCGCAAUGGGCGAAAGCCUGACGGAGCAACGCCGCGUGAGUGAUGAAGGUCUUCGGAUCGUAAACCUCUGUUAUUAGGGAAGAACAUAUGUGUAAGUAACUGUGCACAUCUUGACGGUACCUAAUCAGAAAGCCCCGGCUAACUACGUG
rnacentral:rRNA from 1 species